rnacentral:misc_RNA from 1 species
GAUGAAGAACGUAGCGAAAGGCGAUAAGUAAUGUGAAUUGCAGAAUUCAGUGAAUCAUCGAAUCUUUGAACGCAUCUUGCGCUCCUUGGUAUUCUGAGGAGCAUGCCUGUUUGAGUGUCAUUAAAUUCUCAACUACACUGACUUUGAAUUGGUGUGGCUUGGAUUUGGGGGGAAAAUUGUUGUGGGCUUUUUGUAUAGUCUGCUCCCCUGAAAUUGAUUAGCGGUACCUUUGUGGAACUGUCUACAGGUGUGAUAAUUAUCUACAUCUUAGACAUCUGCUGGAAUGCUGCUUUCUAAACCUUACUUGUAUUGACAAUCUUGACCUCAAAUCAGGUAGGACUACCCGCUGAACUUAAGCAUAUCAAUAAGCGGAGGA